rnacentral:rRNA from 1 species
ACGAACGCUGGCGGCGUGUCUAAGGCAUGCAAGUCGAACGCUCAAUGCCGCAAGGUAUUGAGAGUGGCAAACGGGAGAGUAACACCUUGGUAACCUACCCCUAAGAUGGGCAUAACUUUGCGAAAGCGAGGCUAAUUCCCAAUAAGUUUCAUUGACGCAGGUCAGUGAAAUAAAGUUCAGGCGCUUAGGGAUGGGCCUAGGUUCCAUCAGCUUGUUGGUGAGGUAAAAGCUCACCAAGGCGACGACGGAUAGCGGGUGUGAGAGCACGACCCGCCUCACUGGGACUGAGAUACUGCCCAGACUCCUACGGGAGGCUGCAGUCAAGAAUAUUCCUCAAUGCCCGAAAGGGUGAAGGAGCGACGCCGCGUGCAGGAAGACGCCCCUCGGGGUGUAAACUGCUUUUCUAUAGGACGAAUUUGUGACGGUACUAUAGGAAUAAGGGGCCGCUAACCUCGU